GUUAUGAUAGUUAAGAUGGGAAGAGAUAGGCUUAGACAAAAAUGAUGGUAGUGGAAUUGGAGAGAAAGGAAUGGACUCAAGAUAGCAAUAAUUCACUUUCAAACUGAAAUGAGACCACAUUAUCUUCAGCUAGUUGUAUUUUUUUUAAGGACACCUAUGGAGUGUUCUUGUUUUCAAGACUCUGAAAGCUGACCCUAGAAGAAUCGAAUAGUUAGGAUCCUCUCCAAAGGAGUUAUUGCAGACACUCCUAGAUGCAGUCUUUGGAUCCACACGCUGAACCUAGAUGAGGAAUUCGAUGCUGCUGUUCUUAUUGAGCUAAUAGAACUGGAAUCACAUAUACUGUGAUCACUUUCUUUAUGAGGCUGACGACCACGUCUGUGUUGUUUAUUGCUCUAUCCCCAGCACCUUGCAUAUAAAAGGCGUUUGGGCACCACAUAGGCCACAAAAUGUGAUGAACAGACUAGACUGAAUCUACAGGCUCCUCCGUGAUGCUAAGAAGGCAUUUCGUGCACUUUAGGGAAGAGUUCGCCCACGGUCCUGGAGUAUAGAAGAGAAAAUGAUUGAAAGUGGUCAAAUGGAAAUUCAGCAUAUCUUCCUAGAGGAACUGUUAGAUUUUGACCUGGAGAGGGCCGAGGAUAGGCUGUCUGUUUCCUCCAACGUGCGGCCUCCUUCUCCCCAUUCCUCUGUGAUUCACAGCAACCCUCGGCAGUGGCUCAGAGAGUGAACUGAUGGCGGACACAUAUGAAACAUUCUCUCACAUGGAUUAGUGGCAACCCAGGACAGUGUAGGGCCACAUGGUUGAGGGGUGUGUGUGUGUAUGUGUGUGCGCACAGAAGGGGGGUGUGUUGGGAUGAUUGGUAUUGCCUGCCAUCUAAUCAUAGUAUCUUUAUUUAUAGAAUAGCCACACUCCUAAAGAAUGUUUAAUGUAUAAUUAGUGAAAAAGCAUAAGAUUUAGACUGACCAGGGUUUAAAUUCUAGCUCCAUUACUUUGUUGUGCAUGUGUGUGUAUGAGAGAGAGAGAGGGAGAGAGAGGAAGAUCCAAGGAAAUUAAUUUGAUUUCUGUGAGUCUCAGUUUCCUCCUCUACACAUUUAUGGUAGUAACUAUGUCAUGGAUUUGUUUAAGAAUUUUUCUCUUUUUUGGUGAGGAAGAUUUACCCUGAGCUAACAUCUGUGCCAGUCUUCCUCUAUAUUGUAUGUGCAUUGCUGCCACAGCAUGGCUGACAAGUGGUGUAGGUCCACGCCUGGGAUCCAAACCCAUGAACCGGGGCAGCUGAAGUGGAGUGUGCUGAACUCAACCACUAGGCCACGGGGCUGGCCCUUGUUUGAGAAUUUUUAAAAGAUAAUAUUCAUAAGAUGGGUUAUUUGUGUCUACGUAGAAUGCCUUCCCUCUCCCUCUGAUAACAGUUCACUUCUACUUAGAUCAUGUCUGUGAUAUGAGGGGCUGCCAAUCAAGUAGGAACUGGUUGCUCUACAGAAACCCAGCUCCACUCUCCUCGAAGCAAGGACCUGCAGAUGACCUGAACCGGGCCAAUCAGGGCAUAGCUUUGAAUCGUUGAAGUCCAAGCUGAAGCUUUCUGGUAGUGAAGGUGAGAAAAUGCAGACUCAGAAGCUUCUGGCAGCUGGGGUCCUAGCUUCUCGGAGAAUCCUGAUUAGCAGUAAGAGAAGACAUGGAUAAAGGCGAGGUAAUGACUGGGGAGGAAGGAUCCUGG
ensembl:lncRNA